GUCCAGACUCCUACGGGAGGCAGCAGUGGGGAAUAUUGCACAAUGGGGGAAACCCUGAUGCAGCGACGCCGCGUGAGCGAUGAAGUAUUUCGGUAUGUAAAGCUCUAUCAGCAGGGAAGAAAAUGACGGUACCUGACUAAGAAGCCCCGGCUAACUGCGUGCCAGCAGCCGCGGUAAUACGUAGGGGGCAAGCGUUAUCCGGAUUUACUGGGUGUAAAGGGAGCGUAGACGGCUGUGCAAGCCAGAUGUGAAAGCCCGGGGCUCAACCCCGGGACUGCAUUUGGAACUGUGUGGCUGGAGUGUCGGAGAGGCAGGCGGAAUUCCUAGUGUAGCGGUGAAAUGCGUAGAUAUUAGGAGGAACACCAGUGGCGAAGGCGGCCUGCUGGACGAUGACUGACGUUGAGGCUCGAAAGCGUGGGGAGCAAACAGGAUUAGAUACCCCCGUAA
rnacentral:rRNA from 1 species